AUGAAGUCAUCUGUUCUUCUGAUAUGGGUGCUGCUAUUCUGGGUACGAGGUUCCAUUAGGAACAUUGUACUGACACAGUCUCCAGAUUCUUUGGCUGUGACUUUGGGACAAAAAGUCACCAUCUCCUGCAGGACUAGUGAAAGUGUCAAUAAAUUUGGCAUAAAUCUUUUAUACUGGUACCAACAGAAAUCAGGACAGCUUCCUAGAAUCCUGAUUUAUAAUGAAUUCAGCCAAGCACCUAGGAUCCUUGGCAGGUUCAGUGGUAAUGAGGCUGAAUUAAACUUUACCCUCACCAUUAAUCCUAUGGAAGCUGAUGAUGUUGCCACCUAA